GGUCUUGUUAGAUAGUGUUAGUAUUAGCUAGCGGCUAGCUCAGCCAAUGUUAGUGGCAAUAGCGUCCAAGGAAGACUGACAGUCUGUCUGCUCUUCUCAGAGCCGUGUGUCCUACUCUGAGGACUUCCUUCAGAAUUAAAACGCUACAGAGAGAAGAAAAACAAAACUUCCAAGUGAAUUAUCACAGCGUGUUCAGAGACCUGAAGUCCCAGAGGGAAGAAAUGCAUGCAGAGUUGCCUUCCUGCAUCGUCUGCUCAUUAGGGACCACAGUAACCACCACCUGUACCAUACUUACUUCCUGCAAGUGAGGAUGCACUACUUAUAUGACAAAGCACCUUCUCCAGCAUGAGCAGUAAUGAGUGUACCCUGUAAGACGUAUUGUACCAUGCCUCAUCCUCCUCAGUCAGCCCUCAGCCAACAGCCAGCACUUCGUCAUUAUCGGACUUGCCCGGCUUCAUGAACCUGAUGAGAGUUUUAUACACGUCCACGCUCUAGGUUUCCACUGAAAUGAACUCUGCAUGUGGUGAGAUGCUGCUGAUUCACCAAAAGCUUGAGACGCAUUUUGCUGUUAAAGAGGGAGACGCAGUAUUUGUAUCCAACCUUAAGAAGAAUAUGUUUUACAGAGGGAUUACAACAGGAACUUUCUUGAAGAGGCCACUGCAUUAGACCCACACUUUAAACAAAGAUGGAUGACACAGGACUGGACUGAGUUACUGGCUUGAAAACUGACUGACUCUGAACAGUCAACAGAGCGUGAUCAUGGAGGAGAUGGUGGAGUCACACUGCGGUCUGAGGCAAGCCAAGAGAAUGAGGAAGGAGUGAGGAAGACAAGCAUGGGACGGAGAGGACGGCGGUGACUCUGUCAGUGACUUCCUGGUGCGAGUCAGGUCCUUGGUGCGUGGGUAGUAGGAUGACAUCUCCCCCCUCUUCUGUGGACUGGCAGGUCAACUUCUACUGUAACAUUCGCCGAGGCU